GGCGGUUUGCCGCGUCUGCUGUGAAAGCCCGGGGCUUAACCCCGGGUGUGCAGUGGGUACGGGCAGACUAGAGUGCAGUAGGGGAGACUGGAAUUCCUGGUGUAGCGGUGAAAUGCGCAGAUAUCAGGAGGAACACCGAUGGCGAAGGCAGGUCUCUGGGCUGUUACUGACGCUGAGGAGCGAAAGCAUGGGGAGCGAACAGGAUUAGAUACCCUGGUAGUCCAUGCCGUAAACGUUGGGCACUAGGUGUGGGGGACAUUCCACGUUUUCCGCGCCGUAGCUAACGCAUUAAGUGCCCCGCCUGGGGAGUACGGCCGCAAGGCUAAAACUCAAAGGAAUUGACGGGGGCCCGCACAAGCGGCGGAGCAUGCGGAUUAAUUCGAUGCAACGCGAAGAACCUUACCAAGGCUUGACAUGGACCGGACCGCUGCAGAGAUGCAGCUUCCCUUCGGGGCUGGUUCACAGGUGGUGCAUGGUUGUCGUCAGCUCGUGUCGUGAGAUGUUGGGUUAAGUCCCGCAACGAGCGCAACCCUUGUCCUAUGUUGCCAGCACGUAAAGGUGGGGACUCAUGGGAGACUGCCGGGGUCAACUCGGAGGAAGGUGGGGAUGACGUCAAAUCAUCAUGCCCCUUAUGUCUUGGGCUUCACGCAUGCUACAAUGGCCGGUACAGUGGGUUGCGAUACUGUGAGGUGGAGCUAAUCCCUAAAAGCCGGUCUCAGUUCGGAUCGAAGUCUGCAACUAGACUUCGUGAAGUUGGAGUCGCUAGUAAUCGCAGAUCAG
rnacentral:rRNA from 1 species